UUGUGCCCUGGACAGGAUAUCAUCUUAUACUGUAAGUUUAUUAAAGAGACACUACAGUAUAGAUGAUGUACUAUCCAGGGUUUUCA
rnacentral:pre_miRNA from 13 species